UUUACGGAGAGUUUGAUCCUGGCUCAGGACGAACGCUGGCGGCGUGCUUAACACAUGCAAGUCGAACGGUGACGG
rnacentral:rRNA from 3 species